ensembl:lncRNA
UGCCAUAAUAAAUUGUACAAAUAUUUAUAAUUACAUUGAAUAAGUAACAAGUAAUAAAAUUCCGGUUGAUAAGUGAUGAUUUUCCAGCCCUGUUUUAGCUGUGCGCUCCUAUUCUGUGGCGCACAGUAAAUCAAGUGUUUAAUGCAGCGCAAGUGCGCCUCUGCUGUAAAACAGCGUUACCAGCAUUAUACAGUAUAUCAACACCAAUUAGACUUUGAGAUUCAAUUUCCAUUGGUUGAACUGAAUGACAUGGGAACUACUGACAGAAGGCAGGAUGUCCUGCUCCAGGUGUUCCUCAGCAGUGGGGAUGACUUCAGAGGUCUAGAUCCCGCCUAUGAUCUGGGAUAGUCCUCUGCCAGAGCCAGGUCAUAUUUUCCAGCUCUAUGUAACACCAGACCCAACAGUUGUGUCUCAUCAAGCCAAUGAGGAUGUUUCUCCGCUGUGUGUUGUAGUACACAGGUCCAUGUACUCACUUAAUAUCAGUCACAGUCUUUGAUCAUGAACGUAGCUGUUCCAUGAUAAUACUGUUGGUCACUCACUAUCAGAUAGUAACUUUAACCUACAAAAUGAG